AAAAUGGAAACUGCCUUUCUCAAUGCACUCAUAUAUUUGUUACCUAACGUGGAAUGUGACUUGAUGUAUCACAACGUAUGCUCUUGAGAUCCUAAUUAUCUGCAUUUGUUCAUUAGCGUAAUGGAGAAUAGAAAUCUCCACAGUCCUGAAUAUCUGGAAAUGGCUUUGCCAUUAUUUUGCAAAGCAAUGAGAAAGCUACCCCUUGUAGCCCAAGGAAAACUGAUGAGACUGUGGUCUAAAUACAAUGCAGACCAGAUUCGGAGAAUGAUGGAGACAUUUCAGCAAUUUAUUAUUUAUAAAGUCAUGAGCAAUGAAUUUAACAGUUGAAAUCUAGUGAACGAUGAUGAUGCCAUUAUUGCUGCUUCCAAGUGCUUGAAAAUGGUUUACUAUACAAAUGUAGUGGGAGGGGAAGUGGACACAAAUCACACUGAAGAAGAUGAUAAAGAGCCCAUCCCUGAGUCCAGUGAGCUGACACUUCAGGAACUUUUGGGAAAAGAAGGAAGAAACAAGAAAGGUUCUUGAGACCCCCUGGAAACUGAACUUGGUGUUAAAACAUUGGAUUGUCAAAAACCACUUAUCCUCUUUUGAAGAGUUUAUUCAUGAACCACGGCAUGAGGUUCUAGAAAUGGGUAAAGAUUAUGCUUUUUUUAAAAGUAGAAACAAAUUCUCUUUUAUGAUAUGUCCCUUUAUAUUGUAUGCUGUCACAAAGAAUUUGGAAUUGUAUUAUGACAAUAGAAUUUGCAUGUACAGUGAAUGAAGAAUCACUGUUCUCUCCAGCUUUGCUCAAGGACAGCAGUUGAAUCCAUAUUUGAGACUCAAAGUUAGACGUGACCAUAUCAUAGAUGAUGCACUUGCCCGGCUAGAGAUGAUUACUGCGGAAAAUCCUGCAGACUUGAAGAAGAAGUUGUUUGUGGAAUUUGAAGGAGAACAAGGAGUUGAUGAGGGAGGUGUUUCCAAAGAAUUUUUUCAGUUGGUUGUGGAGGAAAUCUGCAAUCCAGAUAUUGGUAUGUUCACAUAAGAAGAAUCUACAAAAUUGUUUUGGUUUAAUCCAUCUACUUUUGAAACUGAGGGUCAGUUUAUGCUGAUUGGCAUAGUACCAAGUCUGGCUAUUUACAAUAACUGUAUACUGGAUGUACAUUUUCCCAUGAUUGUCUACAGAAAGCUAAUGGGAAAAAAAGGGAACUUUUUGUGACUUGGUAGAUUCUUACCAAGUUUCAUAUCAGAGUUUAAAAGAUUUCUUGGAGUAUGAAGGGAGUAUGGACGAUGACAUGAUGAUCAUUUUCCAGAUAUCACAGACAGAUCUUUUUGGUAACCCAGUGAUGUAUGAUCUAAAGGAAAAUGGUGAUAAAAUUCCAAUUACAAAUGAAAACAGGAAGGAAUUUGUCAGUCUUUAUUCUGACUACAUUCUCAAUAAAUCAGUAGAAAAACAGUUCAAGGCUCUUCGGAGAGGUUUUCAUAUGGUGACCAGUGAAUCUCCCUUAAAGUACUUAUUCAGAACAGAAGACAUUGAAUUGCUUAUAUGUGGAAGCCAGAAUCUAGAUUUCAAAGCACUAGAAGAAACCACAGAAUAUGAUGGUGGCUAUACCAGGGACUCUGUUCUGAUUCAGGAGCUCUGGGAAAUCGUUCAUUCAUUUACAGAUGAACAGAAAAGACUCUUCUUGCAGUUUACAAUGGGCACAAACAGAGCAUCUGUGGGAGGACUAGGAAAAUUAAAGAUGAUUAUAGCCAAAAAUGGCCCAGACACAGAAAGGUUACCUACAUCUCAUAGUUGCUUUAAUGUGCUUUUACUUCCAGAAUAUUCAAGCAAAGAAAAACUUAAAGAGAGAUUGUUGAAGGCCAUCAUGCAUGCUAAAGGAUUUGGCAUGCUAUAAAACAAAACAAAACAAAUAAAAAAGGGAAG